UACAGAGGGGGCAAGCGUUUGUUCGGAAUUACUGGGCGUAAAGGGCGCGUAGGCGGGCUUGUAAGUCCAGGGUGAAAGCCCCCGGCUCAACCGGGGAAGCGCCUUGGAUACUGCGGGCCUCGAGGGGGGUAGGGGCGUGCGGAACUUCCGGUGGAGCGGUGAAAUGCGUAGAUAUCGGAAGGAACACCGGUGGCGAAGGCGGCACGCUGGGCCCGCCCUGACGCUGAGGCGCGAAAGCCAGGGGAGCGAACGGG
rnacentral:rRNA from 1 species